CUGCAUCCAUCGAUAGACUUCAAACAAUUUGCUGUUGUUCAAUGAUUUGCGCUAGGAUCAAAAGGGAAAAAAUUUCAGCAAUUUUUGUCUGUCUUUGUGGCAGCCAGGGGAAAAUAACUAUAAAU